UUCAAUAAUAAGCUGCUACAAGAAUUCUAUAAAUAAGCCAUAAGCUGAAGCUAUUUUGAGAAGCAAGAAAUUCUUUAAUCCUUCUCUGCACUUUUUCCAAGAUUUAGAGCUUUUAUACUUCUUUCAAUAUUCUCUUUUCUCUUCCGAAGAUGAAAGACAAAUUCUCAUGCACCAUUCUCCAGAGCGAAGCUCUCUCUAAGUAUCUUUUGGAAACAAGCGCCUACCCGAGAGAGCAUGAAACACUCAAAGAACUCAGGAACGCCAGUGCUGAGAAAUACCAACAGCUGAGUGCGAUGAACGUGCCAGCAGAUGAAGGCCAAUUUAUUUCAUUACUAUUGAAAGUAAUGAAUGCAAAGAAAACAAUUGAAGUUGGAGUUUUCACCGGCUACUCACUUUUGGUCACUGCCCUUGCUCUCCCUCAUGAUGCCAAAAUAGUGGCCAUUGACCCAGACAGAGAGGCAUACGAGACUGGGUUGCCGUACAUUGAGAAGGCAGGUGUGGCACAUAUAUACAGCUAGCAAAUCUUAAUGAUAUAUAAAAUUGAUAUUGUGAAAUAAAUAAAUGUAUAGGGAGAAGAAGGGACAUUUGAUUUUGCAUUCGUGGAUGCUGACAAAGAGAACUACGUCAACUACCACGAGCAACUCUUGAAGCUGGUCAAGCUUGGAGGAAUUAUAGCCUACGACAACACCCUGUGGUCCGGCACCGUGGCAUUGGUCGACGAAGAGUUGAGCCAGGAGUGGAUCGAUCGUAUUGGGGAGCAUCGCAUAAAUCUCAGGAAGUUGAACACUUUCUUGGCUGCCGAUUCUCGUAUUGAGUUGGCUCACCUUUCGAUCGGCGAUGGGCUCACACUCUGCAGGCGCGUUAAAUAAAUUAAUAUUAAUCAUUAAUUAAUAUUAUACAAAAUUGUUUUUCUUUUAUUAUACUAUUUAUAUUUGUGUUUCUAAAUAAGCGUGCUCUCAUGGGAUAUUGGGAUGGUUGUUUGAGUUUUUUUUUUUGGUUCUUUUCUUUUCUCUUUGAUGCAAUGUUGAUUAAAGUUUUAAUGUUAUGUAUUUUAUUAUGGAAUUUACUUUAAUUCAAUGAAUUUAAUUUCGAGUUAUU